rnacentral:rRNA from 1 species
CCUAUUAUAAAAAUUUAAAUUAAUUUACUAAAAAAUUAAUAGUUAUGUUCUUUAAAUUUAAAAAAUUUGGCGGUAUUUUAGUCUUAUUAGAGGAACCUGUUUAUUAAUUGAUAAUCCACGAUUAAUUUUACUUAUUUUAAGUAAUUCAUAUAUCGCUGUCAUGAAUAUAUUAAAAAAUUUAUUUUCUUAAUUUAUUUUUAUAAUUUAUGUUAAGUCAAGAUGUGGUUUAUAAAUAAGUAUAUAAUGGGUUACAUUAAAUUUUAUUUAUGGAUUUAAAAUGAAAAAUUAAAUGAAAUUGGAUUUAAUAGUAAAUUUAUUUAUCCAAUAAUAUGAAGA